CCUACGGGAGGCAGCAGUGAGGAAUAUUGGUCAAUGGACGCAAGUCUGAACCAGCCAUGCCGCGUGCAGGAAGACGGCUCUAUGAGUUGUAAACUGCUUUUGUACGAGGGUAAACGCAGAUACGCGUAUCUGUCUGAAAGUAUCGUACGAAUAAGGAUCGGCUAACUCCGUGCCAGCAGCCGCGGUAAUACGGAGGAUUCAAGCGUUAUCCGGAUUUAUUGGGUUUAAAGGGUGCGUAGGCGGUCGGAUAAGUUAGAGGUGAAAUCCCGAGGCCCAACUUCGGAAUUGCCUCUGAUACUGUUCGGCUAGAGAGUAGUUGCGGUAGGCGGAAUGUAUGGUGUAGCGGUGAAAUGCUUAGAGAUCAUACAGAACACCGAUUGCGAAGGCAGCUUACCAAGCUACUUCUGACGUUGAGGCACGAAAGCGUGGGUAGCAAACAGGAUUAGAUACCCCGGUAGUC
rnacentral:rRNA from 1 species